CCUACGGGCGGCAGCAGUGGGGAAUAUUGGACAAUGGGCGAAAGCCUGAUCCAGCCAUGCCGCGUGUGUGAAGAAGGCCUUCGGGUUGUAAAGCACUUUCAGUGGGGAAGAAAGCCUUGGGGCUAAUACCCUCGAGGAAGGACAUCACCCACAGAAGAAGCACCGGCUAACUCCGUGCCAGCAGCCGCGGUAAUACGGAGGGUGCGAGCGUUAAUCGGAAUUACUGGGCGUAAAGCGCGCGUAGGCGGUCUGAUAAGCCGGUUGUGAAAGCCCCGGGCUCAACCUGGGAACUGCAUCCGGAACUGUCAGGCUAGAGUGCAGGAGAGGAAGGUAGAAUUCCCGGUGUAGCGGUGAAAUGCGUAGAGAUCGGGAGGAAUACCAGUGGCGAAGGCGGCCUUCUGGACUGACACUGACGCUGAGGUGCGAAAGCGUGGGUAGCAAACAGGAUUAGAUACCCUAGUAGUC
rnacentral:rRNA from 1 species